AGAGGAUGAUCAGCCACAUCGGGACUGAGACACGGCCCGAACUCCUACGGGAGGCAGCAGUGGGGAAUAUUGGACAAUGGGGGGAACCCUGAUCCAGCCAUGCCGCGUGUGUGAAGAAGGCCCUCGGGUUGUAAAGCACUUUCAGUGAGGAAGAACGCCUGGUGGUUAAUACCCAUCAGGAAAGACAUCACUCACAGAAGAAGCACCGGCUAACUCCGUGCCAGCAGCCGCGGUAAUACGGAGGGGUGCAAGCGUUAAUCGGAAUUACUGGGCGUAAAGCGCGCGUAGGUGGCUUGAUAAGCCGGUUGUGAAAGCCCCGGGCUCAACCUGGGAACGGCAUCCGGAACUGUCAAGCUAGAGUGCAGGAGAGGAAGGUAGAAUUCCCGGUGUAGCGGUGAAAUGCGUAGAGAUCGGGCMCGGARUACCAGUGGCGAAGGCGGCCUUCUGGACUGACACUGACACUGAGGUGCGAAAGCGUGGGUAGCAAACWGGAUYARAWACCCUGGUAGUCCACGCCGUAAACGAUGUCGACCAGCCGUUGGGUGCCUAGCGCACUUUGUGGCGAAGUUAACGCGAUAAGUCGACCGCCUGGGGAGUACGGCCGACWAGGUUAAAACUCAAAUGAAUUGACGGGGGCCCGCACAAGCGGUGGAGCAUGUGGUUUAAUUCGAUGCAACGCGAAGAACCUUACCUACUCUUGACAUCCUGCGAAUUUGGUAGAGAUACCUUAGUGCCUUCGGGAACGCAGAGACAGGUGCUGCAUGGCUGUCGUCAGCUCGUGUUGUGAAAUGUUGGGUUAAGUCCCGUAACGAGCGCAACCCUUGUCCUUAUUUGCCAGCGCGUAAUGGCGGGAACUCUAAGGAGACUGCCGGUGACAAACCGGAA
rnacentral:rRNA from 1 species